rnacentral:rRNA from 1 species
UUAGCCCUUUUAGGGCCAGUUUGAGCCAGCCCCUGCGGUAACCCGGGUUUCCCGAGUGGUGAUCCUGCGUUUUGCCUCGACAGGGUCCGUAGGGGGUUUGUUAAGUCCUCCGGGAAAUCUGAUAGCUUCUCUAUUAGGCUUUCCGGGGAUACUUCCUGACUUGGAACGGGGAGUUGUAAGAGGUAGUACCGGGGUAGGAGUGAAAUUUUGUAUUUCGGAGUGGGAUUCACCGGUGUUCGAAGUGUGUACUUACCAGAAGCGGGUUGUGGCGGUGAGGGAAGAAGGUCUGGGGGCAAGAACCGGAUUAGAUGCCCGGGUAGUCCCAGCCGUAAAAGAUGCUUGUUAGGUGUAAGGCAUGGCGCGACCGUGUCUGGUGCCGCAGGGAACGCCGUGAAGCGAGCCACCUGGGAAGUACGGCGGCAAGGUAGAAACUUAAAGGAAUAGGACGGG